rnacentral:rRNA from 1 species
UACGAAGGGGGCUAGCGUUGCUCGGAAUCACUGGGCGGAAAGCGCACGUAGGCGGAUUGUUAAGUCAGGGGUGAAAUCCUGGAGCUCAACUCCAGAACUGCCUUUGAUACUGGCGAUCUUGAGUUCGGGAGAGGUGAGUGGAACUGCGAGUGUAGAGGUGAAAUUCGUAGAUAUUCGCAAGAACACCAGUGGCGAAGGCGGCUCACUGGCCCGAUACUGACGCUGAGGUGCGAAAGCGUGGGGAGCAAACAGG